rnacentral:rRNA from 14 species
UUAAAGCCCGAAUGCAAGCGAUCUAACUUUGAAGAGUGUUUAGUUGAGUAUACUGAAGAUUGAAAUGUAGAGGGGUACACACCUGCCAUUCAAUUGAUAGUUGGUGGUUAAAUGUCAUACGAGCUGUGUUAAUAUCUGGGUGUGUUCGAAACAUGUAAUGGUGUCUAAUAAAUGUUGUCCACAGAUUGUUGUUAAAUGAUUUAAUUGAAACCCGAAUGCCUUUCACAGAUUCUUUAAGAGAAGUAUUAUUAUUAGUCAUUUGCAAUUCGGUUAAGAUGGGUAUUCGCUUAUGUUACAAAUGGGAUUAGCCCAAAUAAAUGGUUAAAGUUUAGAAUGCUGUGUUUUCAAUCAAAUUAUCUAUGGGUUUUCAGAUACACACCUUACACAGCUCUAAAGUUGGAUUAAUAGCAUCCAUCUUUUUAAAAGUGUGUAGUAUCUUAUGAGCUCUGUUUUCCGAAUGGAUAAUCAGAUGCCUAUGUAUGUGUUUCCAAAAGACAAAUAUUGCUGAAGCUCGUUUAAGUUAAGAUAGAAUAUUGUCCACAAUAAACCAUAGCUGUGGUGUAAUUAAGCUGUGGUGUAAAAAUUGCAAUUCAAGUAAUUGUAAUUCGUGUUAACCUAAUAAUAUAUCCAAUACUUUGUUAUCGCUGUCACACACAUUGCAAGAUUCAAUUCCUCAAGCGAGAUCCUUUUAGUUGUAGCUGAAGGGUUUUAUUUUCUUAAUAAAACCUUAAUCUCUAGUGUGACAUCUCAUUAUUAGACCUAUUUUAGGUGUGGAUCUCUCAUGCGCGCUACAAAGUCUUUUGAUUGGUAUCGUGUGCCCAUACGAAUAUCUCAUUUAAAGGUGGUAUGUAAUUAGAUUGGCCAUUUACAAAAUAGUGUCAGGGUUGUACACGUUAAAACAGGUUGGUGGUUUAUUAACAUCGGGGGUUCAUAAUAAAGAGGCGUAAAGAAUUUUGCAAGUAAUAGGUGGAACUUAGGGAUAA